rnacentral:rRNA from 1 species
CAGUAGCCGCGGGAAUACGAAGGGGGCUAGCGUUGUUCAGAAUUACUGGGCGUAAAGGGCGCGUAGGCGGCCAUUCAAGUUAGAUGUGAAAGCCCUGGGCUCAACCUAGGAAUUGCAUUUGAUACUGUUUGGCUUGAGUUCGGGAGAGGUGAGUGGAAUUCCCAGUGUAGAGGUGAAAUUCGUAGAUAUUGGGAAGAACUCCAGUGGCGAAGGCGGCUCACUGGACCGACACUGACGCUGAGGCGCGAAAGCGUGGGGAGCAAACAGGAUUAGAUACCCGCGUAGUCCCUGUCUCUUAUAC